AGGACGAACGCUGGCGGCGUGCUUAACACAUGCAAGUCGAGCGGAAAGGCCCUUCGGGGUACUCGAGCGGCGAACGGGUGAGUAACACGUGAGUAACCUGCCCUGGACUUUGGGAUAACCCUCGGAAACGGGGGCUAAUACCGAAUACGACCUGAUGCCGCAUGGUGUUUGGUGGAAAGUUUUUCGGUCUGGGAUGGGCUCGCGGCCUAUCAGCUUGUUGGUGGGUGAUGGCCUACCAAGGCGACGACGGGUAG
rnacentral:rRNA from 1 species